rnacentral:rRNA from 1 species
AGUGAACGCUGGCGGUAGGCCUAACACAUGCAAGUCGAACGGCAGCACAGUAAGAGCUUGCUCUUACGGGUGGCGAGUGGCGGACGGGUGAGGAAUACAUCGGAAUCUACUUUUUCGUGGGGGAUAACGUAGGGAAACUUACGCUAAUACCGCAUACGACCUACGGGUGAAAGCAGGGGAUCUUCGGACCCUGCGCGAUUGAAUGAGCCGAUGUCGGAUUAGCUAGUUGGCGGGGUAAAGGCCCACCAAGGCGACGAUCCGUAGCUGGUCUGAGAGGAUGAUCAGCCACACUGGAACUGAGACACGGUCCAGACUCCUACGGGAGGCAGCAGCGGGGAAUAUUGGACAAUGGGCGCAAGCCUGAUCCAGCCAUACCGCGUGGGUGAAGAAGGCCUUCGGGUGUAAAGCCCUUUUGUUGGGAAAGAAAAGCAGCAGGUUAAUACCCCGCUGUUCUGACGGUACCCAAAGAAUAAGCACCGGCUAACUUCGUG